rnacentral:rRNA from 1 species
AAUGGCUCAUUAAAUCAGUUAUCGUUUAUUUGAUAGUACCUUACUACUUGGAUACCCGUGGUAAUUCUAGAGCUAAUACAUGCAAAAAACCCCGACUUCGGGAGGGGUGUAUUUAUUAGAUAAAAAACCAAUGCCCUUCGGGGCUACUUGGUGAUUCAUAAUAACUUAACGGAUCGCAUGGCCUUGCGCCGGCGACGGUUCAUUCAAAUUUCUGCCCUAUCAACUUUCGAUGGUAAGGUAUUGGCUUACCAUGGUUUCAACGGGUAACGGAUUUUUAGGGAAAGAUCCCGGAGAAGGAGCCUGAGAAACGGCUACUACAUCCAAGGAAGGCAGCAGGCGCGCAAAUUACCCAAUCCCGACACGGGGAGGUAGUGACAAUAAAUACUGAUACAGGGCUCUUUUGGGUCUUGUAAUCGGAAUGAGUACAAUUUAAAUACCUUAACGAGGAACAAUUGGAGGGCAAGUCUGGUGCCAGCAGCCGCGGUAAUUCCAGCUCCAAUAGCGUAUAUUAAAGUUGUUGCAGUUAAAAAGCUCGUAGUUGAACCUUGGGCCUGGCUGGCCGGUCCGCCUCACCGCGUGUACUGGUCCGGCCGGGCCUUUCCUUCUGGAGAACCGCAUGCCCUUCACUGGGUGUGCUGGGGAACCAGGACUUUUACUUUGAGAAAAUUAGAGUGUUCAAAGCAGGCCUUUGCUCGAAUACGUUAGCAUGGAAUAAUAGAAUAGGACGUGCGGUCCUAUUUUGUUGGUUUCUAGAACCGCCGUAAUGAUUAAUAGGGAUAGUCGGGGGCGUCAGUAUUCAAUUGUCAGAGGUGAAAUUCUUGGAUCUAUUGAAGACUAACUACUGCGAAAGCAUUCGCCAAGGAUGUUUUCAUUAAUCAGUGAACGAAAGUUAGGGGAUCGAAGACGAUCAGAUACCGUCGUAGUCUUAACCGUAAACUAUGCCGACUAGGGAUCGGGCGAUGUUUCUAUAUUGACUCGCUCGGCACCU